rnacentral:lncRNA from 10 species
AGGAUUAGAUGCAGAGGACCAAGUAAGGCAAGGCCUUUUAAAGGUUAAUUUUGUGACUGAAAGCUGGUCUAAUGUUACUAAGAAACUGCAAAAGAUUGAUUGAUGGAAUGAAAAACCGAUUAAGAAUUACUGAGGGAAGCCCAAAAGGUUUUUGUAAGAAGAAAGAAAAGAGAAACUGAGAAAGAAAGAAAAAGAAAAAGUAAAAAAGGAAAUUGGAAAGAGAAAGAGGAGGAAACGGCAAACACAGAGGACAGAGAGAGAAAGAGGUAAGCUGCUGAUCCUGAAAGCAGCGGAGAGCUGGCCAUGCAGCUGCAGGCAUGGGGCUGGCAGAAGCUGCAGAGCUGGACCAGACAGUUGAGAUAAAAGUGGACAGUGUGAGAAAGCUGUUAAUAAAAGCUGCUGCUGAACCUUUGUCAUUUCGGCAGAGCUGUCUGUCUUUGCAGACAGAUGGGAGGAGCCAGGUGCCCAGAGACAAAAAGAGGAAGAAACUAACUAAGGGAGAAAGAAAACAGGGGUUGACAGAGAGAGAUAGAAAAAGAAAAUGAGCAAGAGAGAGACUGGGAAAGACAGAGAUCAAAGAGAGACACAGAAGGUGAGACUGGGGAGAGAGAUAAUGUAAAAGGAAGAAAGAGUACAAGAGGAAGUGAGAGGAUGCAGAGAGGCUGGCAGGGCUGAGAAAAGGAUCUAGAGGCUCAAGCAACAAGGAGGUGCAGGGAAAGGGUGGAGCAUGGCCACUGAGGAGAGACAGAGCCAGAGAACUGGAGGAUGCAAGUGAGAAAGGGAUGUGGAGGAGAGUGUAGAAUCAGGCUGCUUGAGGAAUAGUAGGCUGCCUACAGCAAAGACUAGAUGGCUGUAUGUCAGGAGGUAAAUAGAGAGGAUUCAGGUUAUGAAAGGGUAAACCGAUAAGAUGACCGUUAAGGUUUUGUUGUUUUACUGAGAGGCUGUAAAUCCACCAGGGGAAGCUGUCACUAAGGCUGCAGAGGGGCUGGAGAGCUACACAGGGAAGAUCAGAACUACUGUUGUAAACAAGAAUAAAGAAGUGGACAGUGGCCCAGAUGGCUGACUAGAAGAAUCUUAGGCUUGUGGCUCUCACAGAGAGGAAUGAAAAGGGAAAGUAAACACAGCUCCUUCAACAGAAACAUCCAGGUACUUACAUUGGUACUAAUCAAGGACACAACUCGACCCAUAGAGAACAGAGAAAGGCAAGGCGGAAUGACAGCCCACC